UACUCAAAAUUUCUGCUACUGGUUCUCCAGAACUGGUCAGAACCUGCUGAAUACCCACCUCUGCACCAUUCCCAAUAUUUGCAGAUGAGGGAUGGAGCUCUAGAAAUAACAGAAAUCCCUGCAUCACAUUACUUUCUCCACCCUUUAUCCUUCUUUGAGCAUUUUUUAUGGAACAAUGUGGAUUUUUAAAACUUUGGUUAUCAGAGGGAGAGAAGAAACACGAGUGAACUGCACUUCAGCAAAACAGCUGCUACUGCCACAUCACUAGAGUCGGCUUGAAUAACAAAUGGAAAGCUGGUAUCAGGAUGUUUGAGGGCUGGUUCCUGAGUGAAAAGAUUUUUCAUUGAUUAUUCAUGCUUUUCCAGUUACCCCAGCAGAUCCUCUUUCACCUGAAGAAGAGAAAGAAGAAGAGGAGAAAGA